AUUAUUUUAUGAAUAAACAUUUUAUCAAAAGAAAAAAAAAUUAAAUAAAUAAAUAAAUAAAUAAAAGAACAUAAAAGGACUCGAGAGAUGUAUUCGGUAGCAGGACAAAUUCUCAUGAGAGGAUUGCAAAGCGUGUUGUUGAAAAUGAAAAUCCCACGCAACAUCCAGGAAGUGGUGAGGGUGGCACCGGAUGCAUCUCAAUGAGGGGAGAACGAGCGAAUGAGUCGCGUAAAACAAUCCUUUUUGCGUUUCGCAAAGACUUACCGUCUCUCUUUCAUCUGCGGUCAGGUGGGGUACCCGUUUAGCAAGGUAUUUCGUUGCAUACACAGGUGUUCUCUCAUGGUUCGUUGUAGACGAAGGUUAGAAAACAAAUACCGUUUCCUUUUAUAACGUUUACCGCCACUAUCUUCCGAACGAUGAGCCGUUUUAGAUUAUUUCUCAAGGAAACAUGUGUUUAUAUUAUGUCUUGAAAAGACGGCCGGAGGACGCGUGGCUGCGUCUGCAUCAGGUCUAUUUACCACCUAAAGAGUCACCUGUUUCAUCUAGGUAGAAGAAUUUCACUAUCAAAUCCGAGUUUACCGUUGGUAUAUGUUAUCUCGUCGCGUGCACGCCGCCAUAGAAUGAAAACGUAACUGUGUGAUAAAUCAAAUCUUUAUCGAGAUCAAGGUGGUGGAUCGAGAUCGAGGUUGGAAACAAGGAUAUACUAGGAUCCGUUAAGGCGUGAACAAAUGCAUUUUCAUUCAUCACCAACCAUUGCUUCUCUUGAUAUGAAAAAAGGAGAAAAAGGAAAAAAAGAAAACGACGUUAAAAAUAUUCUUUGCAAAGAUCCUUCCAAUUGAUCGUUCAUUAGCGGUGGUCGUUUAUUAAUUGUUCGGCGUGGAAGUAUUGAAUGGUUGCGGAGAACAAUGAAGGUGGUGCACGUUAUACGAAAAUAUCUUUUGUCGUAGUCGCGAUUGUACCCACUUCCGUGGGAAUUCGCGGAACGGAAGUGCAAUUUCUGGCAAUGGGUACACCACCAUCAUCGUGGCCAGCUUCAGCAUAGCGCGAGCAACGUGAAAAAAACGAUUCUUAAGAAAUGAUGCCAGGUGCACAACACGCUUCCUUCUCACGAGAACUCGAGAUUAAUUUUUGAGAAAUUUUUAACAAGUGUUGGCGCGCUCGAGGAAUUAAGAAGUUAACGAUGUGUCAUCUUAUUCUCGUCCCUCGAAUCCAGGUCACGCAUAAGUCAUGCACCAUAUGUUUGAGAGCAUCUAAUCCGUCUCGAUACGAAUCUCUUGUGUUUUAGUUAUUCCGUUUUAUCAGAGUGGAAGUGGAAGGAGGAAGAGGAAAAUAUUUGAAAAGUCGGACGCAGAAUUACAAGGGUUGGAAAGUUUCGAUGGAAACGAGGACGGCGAGUCACGUGCGAGCGAUCUGUCUCUCCGCCGUUCCGAGACAUUUAUAGAAACGAGGGACGUGCGAUGACGUGAUUUGGCGAGAAUGAAAUAAAAAAAGGAGAAAAAAAAAAAAAGAGCGCUCGUGUGAAAGGGCGAAUCAAGGUAAACGAGUAAUUCGAAGUUAAUUAGAACGAUGGUUGAAAUCGUUUGUGAAGAGCGAUUUAUUAUAUUCGCACCUUUUUUACCGUCCGAGUCGAUCGAACUGUAAUGUAAUUUAAAUAUGUGCAUUGCGGUAAAUGUUAUUGAAUGACGCGUUGAUAUGUCGAGCGUAUAUAAUAUUAGCCACGAUUAAUUUAUGCAUUACGCUUUGCAAACGAAUGGCGCAGGAUUAUCGAUCGGCUGUAACUCGUGUAAUUAUUUAUGCUCGUUGGCGGAAGAAUUUUCAUAACGGUAUGGGAAAAUCAGUCGGCAUAUUCCGUAAACAAGAAUUAUUAAAAGUUCGUUAACCUGACAUUCCACGAUAAUAAUCGAGAAAUCAUCGUAUACCGUUGGUCUUGAGAGUAUCCGGUCACAUUGUAUAUUCGGAAUAAUUUAUGAAAAAUUGCAUAUUAACGAGCAUUUAAAUAACAAUUUUUGACAUCUACCUAUAUUUAGUAUUUCAUUUACAUACAAUGAUAGUUUAACCGUUUUAAAAGAAAAUAAAAUGCACGGUGAAAAAUUUAUCAAAAGGUUUUGACAAUUCGUUAGAAAUUCCACUCGGAGCAAACGAGUUACGACGCGCAAUCGCAUUAUGGCCGUCGCGUUAUAACAUGACGCUUCGCUAAAUUAUUGCUCGAAAAUUGGCACACUUCCUGUUCCUUUCUCGCGUUGCAUUGGCUCGAACACUCCGCUCCGAACAUGAGUGCUAUCCGUUUCGAUCAUUCUCGAUAUUUUCGAUAAUAAAUUCGAGACAAUGGGUACGCGCCGCUAAAAAUAGGUUAAGUCCACCCACCGAAUCUAAAUGGCCGUUCGACUUUUCCGUUCGAUUCCGUUCGGACUAAAAUAGAUUCACGUAGGUCGCGGACGCAGCUGUGGAUUUCUAUCUAACGUUUAUUUCGUGUUCGCGCACCGUUCACCCAUUUGCGGCAGGUCAGUGACGUUACCCGGCCCACGUAUCGUCUAACAAACGACACUCUUCUCAGACUUUCCAUUGCAGAAAUAUACAAGCAUCGAAACAAAGCGAUGCGUCACGUGGACUCGAUGAAUUUUACGACUUCCCUCCGUCACGAAUCUCGCCACUUUUUUAUCAUUAUGCCUAUAGAUUUCCAAACGUUUAUUCCGUUUCGCCGAUAAAAGAACAAUAAUAUUCCACUAUAUUUCGUCUACCAAGAUACAAUACGUAAUCGAUGAAAAGAGUUUCGCGUUCGAAUUUCUUUCCGUCUAUUGUGCUGCGCGAUUCGCAAAUGCGACAGUGGCGCCAAACGAUAAGAAAGUGAAAACACCAACGUACAAAGCGCCUCCUGACCUACCAGACUUUCUAAUAGUUACUGUAUCUACCAGUUUCGAUCCGAUAUUUAUAAAACUUUCUAUUCUUUUUACUCUCGCGUUGUUCCGCUAUCCGUCGAGCUCGAAAUUUUAUCGUCGAUUCAAUCCGUAUCGAUCGAGCAAUUCGACACCGAAAUAUAUAUCUCGUUCUACCAUUGUCCCACCAACAAUGACAAAAUCCAUUGGAUACUGUUUUUCAACGAGAUCGUUAGAGUGAAAAGAAAGGUGUCUCCCAUUUGCUGUGGGUGCAUUCAACCUGUCCGGAAUUUAAAACCCUCGCACGAUAACCUCUUCUUUCGUACGCGGAGAAAUCCAAGACUCGGCUUGUGAACUCGAGGAGCACAGGAAAGACCAAACCAACGAUGUAACGUUACACUGUUAAAUCCCGUAUGAAACGUUAGUCACCAGUACUCUCUCUCUCUCUCUCUCUCUCUCUCUCCUCUCUCGUGAGUUACCGGAUGCAGGAACGACCGCAACACGACAGGAUCUAUGGUGUCCGAAGGGAUGUGCCUUAUCUCGAGGGAAAGCACGCAGUGUCAAAGUUUCACUUUUAUUAAUAACACGCGUUUCAUCCAAUUAUUCCAAAUUCCUUCCUUAUUUUCCCGAUUAAUAAAAUCGAUAAGGAAAUACGAUACUUUUCUCUACGUUACGAGCAAACGGUUACGAGCGUUCGUGUACCAUUG
rnacentral:lncRNA from 1 species